AAUGUCUGUCUUGCGCGAAAACCGUUACAAACUUUUAAGCGCGAGCAGUGGGACUGAGUGGAGCGGCGCGACUAUCUGAGGUGGCUGCUGCUGCUGUGCUCCUUCCACUUCUGUUCAAGGAGAGUCCAAGAUCUCUUUAUGUCAUCAAUGAGGUUCCACUUAACAGCAGCAAGAAGGAUUAAAGGGAUAGUUCCAACAAAAAUAAACAUUCUGUCAUCAUUUACUCACCUUCAUGUUGUUCCAAACCCAUGUGACUUUCUUUUUUUAUGUGGAGCACAAAAGAAGAUAUUUUGAAGAAUGUCAAUGAAA